UGGUGCAGACAGAAUGUGAGCCAGGAAGUACAUCUGUAAAAGCCCAGACAUAUAGAUAUUAGGAGUAUCUUCAUUCUUCAAUUGCAUCUUAGCUAAGAAGUUAACUUGGAUCUGCUUCACAGGGAGUCAUUGAUGUUCAACUAAGUAGUAGGAUACAGUUUUCUGAUCAAAUGAAAUGGCUUUAUCUUAUCUGGCUGGAAUUUAAAGAGCUGGGACUACCAUCAGGAAAAUGUACCAUGUAAUAACACUAACCCAGAACACUGCUACUGAGUCUACCACACAGUAAAGCCGACUAGGGAAUAGCAAUUUAGUCGACCACACAGUGACAGGAACCCGGAGCAUUGCUACUAAUUGUCUCCUAUACAGUAGUUCUGAUUCAGAACAUUGCUACUGGGUCUACCACACAGUAAUGUGGAUUAGGACAUUGCUAUCAAGAUUUUCCAUGCAGUUACACUGACCAGAGUAGUCCAAACAGGAAAAACACUUAGGAUAACUUAGGACGUGUGGUCUUCCACACUGUAAUACUGACCCCAAAGUGUAGCUUUUCUAUGGAAAAUUCAGACAGAUAACUGAAGUUACCUGUCAGUAGGGGCAAUAAACUCUUUAUUAUCUGUUUAUGUUAACACUCCUGAUACUGAAGGCUGGACUCUGCUGAACACUGGAAAAAAAGCAGAGAGAAACAUGCAACUCACUCUGUGACAUUAGUGCAAUUUUUUUUCAAAUGUGACCAUGAGAUAUAGACAUUAAAAUUAUUUUAAGUAACAUUUAAGUAAUGUUCAAAGGUGGUAGUGAAAACUCACUGAAUGUGACAUCAAAGUUCAAAUGAGUGGGAAAGAAAGAUAGUUGUAGUUACUAGUAAAAAUUUAAGAUUAGAUAUUAAAAUAAUUUUUAAAAGUGACAGUAGGUACAGUAAAAUGUGGAUAAUAUGCAUUUUGAUUGAUAAUGUCAAAUAAUAAAGUGUAACUGAUUG